AUAACAACAUUCGGAGCGUCGGUCUACCGAGCAAAUAUCACCCGCUCGGUGGAAGAUCUUCCCUUUAUCGUAUAUC
rnacentral:pre_miRNA from 1 species